GAGACACGCUGGCGGCGUGGAUUAGGCAUGCAAGUCGAACGGUAGGAUACCUUCGGGUAUCUGAGAGUGGCGAACGGGUGAGUAACACGUAGGUGAUCUACCCUCAAGAUUGGGACAACCCAGGGAAACUUGGGCUAAUACCGGAUGAAAGCAGCAGUGAUGUUGUUUGAAAGGUGGCGUAAGCUGCCGUUUGGGGAUGAGCCUGCGCUCUAUUAGUUAGUUGGCGGGGUAAAGGCCCACCAAGGCGAUGAUAGAUAGGCGGCCUUAACGGGUGGUCGCCCACACUGGGAUUGAGAUACGGCCCAGACUCCUACGGGAGGCAGCAGUCGAGAAUAGUCUACAAUGGCCGAAAGGCUGAUAGUGCGACGCCGCGUGAACGAAGAAGCCCUUCGGGGUGUAAAGUUCUUUUAUAUGUGAGCAGUGCUUUCUAUGUGAACAGCAUGGGGAGAGAGAUAUUAGCAUAUGAAUAAGCAACGGCUAACUCCGUG
rnacentral:rRNA from 1 species